CAUCACACUAUCUCACUACCACAGGAGUAAAGGUUGGUAGAAAACAAAAACGACCAAUAGAGCAUAAUUUAUAGCAAACUCAUUUAUCAAUAAUAAAAACCUUUACUGUCCACUUACCUCGGUGAGAUUCAUGAAAGACAACUUAUGAAACAUAAUAACAUCAUAAACAUCAUAAAAUCAUGCACACUUUGUAACAUAACACAUAUCAAACUCUCAUUUUUCAAUCAUCAGACAAUAAUUUUUCUCUUUUAUCAGCCUGCUAGUAUCCAUGGGGAUCCAUAGAGGGGUCCUUGCUACAUGUGAACCAUUCACAUUAAUAACUUGAUUCCAGGGCCGUCCCCAUACCCCGUCCGGUAUGGGCGCCAAAACCAUAAACCUCAAUAUCUCGUACGGUAUGAGGGUGAAACGGGCCGUCCCCAUACCCCGUUCGGUAUGGGUGCCAAAACACAUAAGGUCUCCAUACCCCGUCCGAUAUGAGAGAUCACGUUCCCGGUAGGGUUCUCCACGGACCCAAGUCCAUCCACCAUCUCCCAGGAUAUCUAGUUAGGCUGUCGACAUCAUCCAUUUAUCAAUUCACAUACAUUUUUCUAUUUUUCUUGGUCUCAAUUAUCCACUCAAACAUAAAUACGUAAACUAGUAAUGAACACCAAACAAGACAACAACGGGUUCACAAUAAUUCAAACCAUAAUAAAUGAAAUCGUGAUUCAUGCAUACGAAACCAUAGAAUAAACACAUCAAAUAUCAUACUGUAUUUAAAAAUAUAAAAUAGAUCAACAACAAUUGACCAAAAAAUACAUCAGAUUCAGGCUCCAUUAGCAACCUUAAUUAAUUAUACACAAUUCAUAAAAUACCGUUUAUUCUUUUAUUGAGCUUUAAUACCGUGAUAGAAAAUUUGGUGAGAAAUCUUUAUUUAUUUUGGAGUCUGAAAUCGGAUUCUCACUGCGCCUACGGGUUGUCCCUAAAUUCCCUAAAUUUUUAUUCAGGAACUGAAAUACACUUCUGGUACCUACACAUGUCCCGAAAAAACUCAAAAUCAAACCUAAGGCCUACUCGGCCAUUCUCAGAAAAGCCGCCGUGGUCCGGCGAUGGCGCCGCCGCCCGCGGCAGUGAUCCGCCUUGGGUUGGUCGUAUUCUGGCGAAUUUGGCCAAACUCGCAUUGAUUCCUAUGAUAAAGCACCCCUAGGGUCCACGGUGGGCCAAAAAUCAAGAAAAACUGAGACUUACCGACGGCAGAGCUCUCGGGUGCAGUGGCUUCUCCAGUGCGAGUCGUGAUUUGAUGUUUUGCUCCGGUCAACCUGUAGAGAAAAGGACGGUGAUCACAGUGGUGUAAAAAUUACAUCAAGCGGGAAGGGCCUCAUCGGAGGCAAAAAUCGAGGGAAGCUGCAGCGGCGCCGCUGAACUUCGGCAGUGUUUUUCAGUCAAUUAACCGGUGGUUUGGCUCCGAUUUGACCACAGGUGGAUUCAGCAUCGAAAAACGAGCCCAUGAGAGAAAUUUUACCUCGUUUGACGGUCGAAAAAUUCUCUAGUGCGGCGACAGGUGGUGGCGGCCGGCUCCUCCGGUGACUGGGUCGUCUUCUCUGACGAGGGUACUGGCGGCUAGGGUUUGGGGUUAGGUGUGGGUGAGGUUAUUUAUAACCUUCCCCUUUUAAUCUCAGCCGUCGAUCACGAUUUAAUCUGGACCGGCCGAUCGCGAUUAAAAUGGGAAUUAAUCUGGGCCGUCCAUCGUGAUGCGAUCUGGACAGUCCGUGCGUGAUUCAAUCUGGGCCAUCCAUGCGCACUUUUGAUCUGGGCCAUCCAUGCGUACAGGAACGGAUCUGGGCCGUCCGAUCGCACGCACGAGGAUCACCUACGUGGCCCCGUCCCGCGUGGCUUCCCGCGUCAACGUUCUUGCCAUGCGGCGUGUCUUGGUUGGCUGGGGCUGCUGACCGGGCUGCUGACGUGGCGUAUCUUUUCUAAAUUGCGUUUUGACCCCUGAUUUUUUAGUUUCUUUUCAAAAACACCACCAGAAUCCAAAAUUUCACCCAUUUUUCCCAAAAUCAUUUUCAAUUAAUUCUCAAAAAUAAUUUUACCCAAUUUUAUUAUUAUUAUUAUUAUUAUUAUUAUUUCUAUUAAAUUAAAUUAAAUUAAAUUAAACAUAUAAUUAUUAUAAAAUAAAUUGACUAUUAAAAUAAAAUAAAAUAAAAAAAAAAUUCCAAUACAAAAAUAAAAACAGUUUUGGGGUGUUACAACUCUCCCCCCUUUAAAGAAAUUUGGUCUUCCAAAUUUGCCUCUUGCUCUUGAUCGAACAAAUGGGGAUACUGGGCUCUAAAGUCUGAUUUUAGCUCCCAGGUAGCCUCCCUUGGCGUGUGGUUCUGCCACACGAUCUUUACAAAUGAUAUUUUUCGGUUGCGGAGUAUCCUGUUCUUUCGGUCCGUGAUACCGACUGGUUCUUCUUCAUAAGAUAAGUCAUCUUGGAGUGGAAGCGAUUCAUGAGCCAAGACAUGAGAGGGGUCCAGGUUGUACUUAUGUAGCAUGGAUACGUGGAAUACAUUAUGGACCUUGGAGAGCUCUGGAGGUAGUGCUAGUGUGUAGGCAGUACCAAUCCUGUCUAAGAUUUCAAAAAGUCCAAUAAAUCGGGGGGUUCAGUUUUUCCAUCCUGCCGAACUUAUUAAUUCUCUUGAAAUGAGUGACCUUAAGGAACAUCCGGUCGCCUUUCUCAAAUGCUAGAUCUCUCCUCCGGGUGUCCGCAUAACUCUUCUGCCUACUCUGAUCCGUCUGAAUGUUCUUUCAGAUUUUAACUAUUUUAGACGUGGUCUCCUCUACCAACUCCGGGCCUAACAAUCUUCUAUCGCCCACUUCUUCCCAAUAAAUCGGUGAUCUGCAUUGGCGCCCAUAUAACGCCUCAUAUAGAGCUAUGCCGAUACUCGCUUGGUAGUUGUUGUUGAAGGCAAACUCUAUCAGGGGUAGAUGGUCAUCCCAAUAGCCCCUAGAGUCAAGGACAUAAGCUCAGAGCAAAUCCUCAAGUGUACGAAUUGUCAAUUCUGAUUGUCCAUCAGUCCGAGGAUGGAAAGCAGUGCUGAGAGAGAGCUUUAUUCUCAUGGCUUGCUGAAAGCUACUCCAAAACUAAGAAGUGAACUUGGUGUCCCUGUCGGAUACCACUGUCACUGGAACUCCAUGCAAUCUGACUAUUUCUCGGAUAUACAUUCUUGCCAACUUAUCUAAGGGGUCGGUCAUCCUGAUGGCCAUGAAGUGGAAAGAUUUGGUAAGUCGGUCAACAAUUACCUAGAUGGUGUCAUGUCCUAAACGUGCAUUGGGUAAUCCUGUCAUGAAGUCUAUGGUGAUGUGUUCCUACUUCCACUAUGGGAUCGGUAAAGGCUAAAGUAGCCCACCUGGGCGCUGAUGCUCUGCCUUGACCUGCUGACAUACCAAGCAUUUAGAUACAAAGUUGGCUAUGUCUCUCUUCAUCCCAUUCCACCAAAACUGGGGUCGCAUGCUUUGGUACAUUUUGGUGCUUCUGGGAUGCAUGGCAAACUUCAAGCUGUGGGACUCUGUCAUGAUGUCUCUCUUUAACUCACUAUCGUCUGAGACACAUACUUGUCCUGGAAACGGAGUAAUCCAUCAGCAGAGAUUCGAUAUUCUGAGCUCACUCCAUGUUCUGCAUCCUUCUUGCAGGCUACCAGGGCGGGGUCGACUGACUGGGCUUUCCUUAUUAUCUGGAUUAACUCGGGCUGGACUGUCAGGCGGCCCAAACAUGUGACUCUCCUAAAGUCCUGAGGUUGAACCUGUUGUGUGGCCCUAAUUUUCCUGUAUUCUAAAACCAUCAAAUGGGCUAAGAUACUUGCACUUUUCCUGCUGAGAGCAUCUGCUACCACGUUGCCCUUACCCAGCAUUAUUGUGUAAGGGAUGAGUCCGAGGAACGCGACUCUGAUACCAACUGUAACGGCCCCGGAAAUUUAAAGAAAAUGUAUGUAUUAAAAAUUCUAAGUGCGGAAGCGAAAUAAAAAUUCUGAUUAAUAUCCCUUACAUAAUAACCAAAACGUAUUAAACGUAUGAAAGAAUAAACUAACUGAAGUAAAUACUAGUACUGAAUGCUAUAAAUAAAUCUAUGAAAUCCUUAGUCAUCUACUCGCCGUCUUCCUGCGGGACAGGCUCGGGAACCAAGUCCUCCUGAUCUGAAAUGGUUAAGUAAGAAAUGAGCUAUACUAGCCUAGUAAAAACAUCACACUAUCUCACUACCACAAGAGUAAAGAUUGGUAGAAAACAAAAACGACCAAUGGAGCAUAAUUUAUAGCAAACUCAUUUAUCAAUAAUAAAAACCUUUACUGUCCACUUACCUCGGUGAGAUUCAUGAAAGACAACUUAUGAAACACAAUAACAUCAUAAACAUCAUAAAAUCAUGCACACUUUGUAAUAUAACACAU
rnacentral:lncRNA from 1 species